rnacentral:rRNA from 1 species
UACGUAGGUGGCAAGCGUUGUCCGGAUUUACUGGGCGUAAAGGGCGUGCAGGCGGUUUGUAAGUGCAGGGUGGAAAGCUCCCGGCUCAACUGGGAGAGGUCCUUGCAUACUGGCAAACUCGAGGGAGGCAGAGGAAAGUGGAGUUCCCGGUGUAGUGGUGAUAUGCGUAGAUAUCGGGAGGAACACCUGUGGCGAAGGCGGCUUUCUGGGCCUUAC